AAUAUGUGCCUGCCCAUUGCUACUGGAAUCCUCCACUCUCUUCACUGUAUGAUUUGGAAAGACCGUUCUGUAAAGUACAUACAUAAUCAAAAGUGGUGCAGAUAGGACUACACAAUCUUUUCAAGGAAAUAUUAUUGUCAAGCUGCUUAUUUCUGUUCUAUCAUUUGAUUAAUGUCCGUCUACUAUUACAAACCCAAAAAUUAUUAAAGAAUAAGAAGUUUUGUUUUAGAUGGAAGAGAAGAGACAUUUUAAAACACCUGCUUUUAUUUUCUUAAGAUCAGAAAACUAAAGCUCAGAGAUUAAGUUCAGCCAGGAACACGGUGGAGAUAGCAGAGCUGGGUAUACUUGGAAGGACUUCUUUUAAAAGUGUUGGAUUUGAAUCCAGGUCUGUCACAUUUUAGAGGCCAUACUAUUAUAUGCUCCUUGAGAUAAUGCAACAGUUAGAACAAAAAUAAUUUUUCCUGUUGGCAAUCCUAGCUUAUCUUUUCUUCCCCUUCUAAGUUGACGAUAUUAAUACAGAAAAUACUUUCUAGGGCCUGAAACUGUGUAGAAAUCUUCCUCCCUUUAUCAUCUCUACUAUGAAAGAGCAUACCCUACUUAGACUGAAAUUUCCUGAAUGAAUUAGCAAUCAAUUUCAUGAAACACUAGAAAUUACGUUGAAAUCAUGAGAAGUCUUUAUAAACAAUGUAGAAAGAGGAAUAAAAUCACAAAUGGGAAUUUAAACUGGAAACAUAAUUACUAUAAAAAGUAGCCACAAACUGAGGAGCACUGCCCUCAGGAUACCUGAAGACAUUCUAAAUGAAGGUGCUUAUACUUUGAAUCAAUUUCCAGAUACUCAACUUUCUUAUGUAUUCUUCCUAAAACUGCUUUGCAUGAGAAUAUCACCUCCUCUUUGAUAAUUUUUUCUCUCAUUUUGGAAUCAAAUGACUUAAUUCUCACCCAUCUUUGAUAGCUCUGCAGGAUUAUGCAUUAUGGUUAAAUGCAUAAAUCCAGAGCCAGAGAAUUCCAUCACUCACUAGCUAGCUGUGUAACUAUGAGCAAAAUAACUCUGUCCAUACAAUGGAGGAAAGUAACAGUACACUAACCUCGUAUGUUGCUAUAAGGAUUAGAUUAUGUGCAAGUCACUUAAAAUAAUGCCUAGCACAAAGUAAGCACUAUAUAAACGCUAGCUACUAUUAUUAUUGUUAUAGUGUAACGUGGAACACUAAAGAGAGAAUUAGAAACAUUAGUAUCCAUGAAGCCUCUUAACCAAGGUAUUAUUGGUAUAGCUUCCUGUCAAUACCAGUAUUUUACAUAUUACAAUUGAGGGCAAAGUUGGGCAUUAGAAAUUGGGUAUUCUGGCCCCUUGGUUUGUUCUAAAUUCAGAUAAAUUGUAGAGUAAUGAUAAUUCUGCUUAAUGCCCUUGCCUCCUUAACUACUGUCAAAGAAUGCAUUACUUCUUAGGCAGAAUCCUGUGUAAACAAAGUACAGAAAAUAUUUUAAAGAAAUAUCAAAGGUGGGCCAGGCAUGGUGGCUCAUGCCUGUA
rnacentral:lncRNA from 1 species